AGGGACUAUGGAGCUGAGGGGUAUCCAUUUACCCCUGAAAGACUUGACUAUUUUAGACAGGAAGAAGAGAAUGCUAAGAAGAAUCAGACCUUGAGCUCCAUCUUGGUUUCAAGCUCGCGCGAUUAUCUGAUUUCAAAGGAUGGAACGAAGGUUGCAGUGUCUGAGAUUGAAGGGAAAAUGGUAGGUUUGUACUUCUCAGUUGCUUCUCACCGGCGGUGCCUCGAAUUCACAGCCAAACUUGUGGAUGUAUAUAAAAAGCUCAAGGAGAAAGGAGAGAACUUUGAGGUGGUGCUGAUAUCUAUAGACUAUGAUGAGAAGGAAUUCAAGCAAAGUCUUGAAACAAUCCCUUGGUUAGCAAUACCAUUUGAGGACAAGUGCCGUGAGAAAUUAGCACGUUACUUUGAGCUCAGAGCCCUUCCUACUCUGGUCAUAAUUGGGCAAGAUGGAAAGACUUUGAACCCAAAUGUAGCUGAGCUUAUUGAAGAUCAUGGCAUUGAAGCCUACCCAUUUACACCAGAAAAGUUGGUUGAACUUGCUGAGAUUGAGAAGGCAAGACUUGAAGCACAGACACUAGAGUCUGUUUUGGUUCAUGGAGAUAAAGAUUUUGUGAUAGAAAAGAGCGGU
rnacentral:misc_RNA from 1 species